AAGGUAGCGAAAUUCCUUGUCGGGUAAGUUCCGACCUGCACGAAUGGCGUAACGAUCUCCACACUGUCUCGGCCAGAGACUCGGUGAAAUUGCAGUCGCGGUGAAAAUUCCGUGUACCCGCAGAAAGACGGAAAGACCCUGUGCACCUUUACUAUAGCUUGACAUUGGAUUUUGGGCCUGCAUGUGUAGGAUAGGUGGGAGGCUGUGAACCCUGUACGCCAGUAUGGGGGGAGCCAUCCUUGAAAUACCACCCUUGCAUGUUUAAGAUCCUAACUUCUUCCGGUUAUCCCGGAGAAAGACAGUGUCUGGCGGGUAGUUUGACUGGGGCGGUCGCCUCCUAAAGUGUAACGGAGGCAUGCAAAGGUUCCCUCAGCCUGAUCGGAAACCAGGCGCUGAGUGCAAACGCAUAAGGGAGCUUGACUGUAAGAGAGACAUCUCGAACAGGAACGAAAGUUGGCGUUAGUGAUCCGGUGGUCCCGAAUGGAAGGGCCAUCGCUCAUUGGAUAAAAGGUACGCCGGGGAUAACAGGCUGAUCGCAUCCAAGAGUUCACAUCGACGAUGCGGUUUGGCACCUCGAUGUCGGCUCAUCACAUCCUGGGGCUGAAGUAGGUCCCAAGGGUUCGGCUGUUCGCCGAUUAAAGUGGUACGCGAGCUGGGUUUAAAACGUCGUGAGACAGUUUGGUCCCUAUCUUCUGUGGGCGAAGGAGAAUUGAGAGGGCCUGUCCCUAGUACGAGAGGACCGGGAUGGACGCACCCCUGGUGAUCCUGUUGUCGCGCCAGCGGCAUAGCAGGGUAGCUAUGUGCGGAAGGGAUAACCGCUGAAAGCAUCUAAGCGGGAAGCCUGCCUCAAGAUAAGUUCUCCCCUCGAAAGAGCUGAAGGGCCCGGGUAGACUACCCGGUCGAUAGGCUGGAGGUGUAAGCGCGGCGACGUGCUCAGCUGACCAGUACUAAUAGCCCGAGCGGCUUAUUUUU
rnacentral:rRNA from 1 species